UCUCACCUGGGUUGUGGUAAUGUUGGAUUCUGGUGUAACAAAGGCAAAACAGUUACUAAUUUAGUUUUUGGGAUUAUAGGCUUGAUGAUGUCACCUUUCCUAUAUGUCACCAUCCUCUGCCUAGCUUCAAUUGUUUAAGGUUGCCUUGGGCUGGUUGCAUUUCCUCAACUCAGGAUUGCAGUUGUUCUCAUGGCAGCUUGCUCUACCCAACUGUCUCCUUUUGGCUUCCAUGCGUGCCAGGAAUUACUCCUACCUUGUUUGUGUGUGUGUGUGUGUGUGUGUGUGUGUGUGUGUUAAUUUGUUUGGCUUUUUAAGCCUAAGUGUGAUAACAGCUUUUCUGUUACUAGGUCUUUCUCUACAUCUUAUCCCUACAUUUAUAAAUUGCCCCUUUAAUGAACUAGCCUCCAACUGCCCUGUUUUGAAUAUACCAUGCACUAUUUGUG
rnacentral:lncRNA from 1 species